rnacentral:rRNA from 1 species
GAUGAACGCUGGCGGCGUGCCUAAUACAUGCAAGUCGAGCGAACAGAUGAGGAGCUUGCUCCUCUGACGUUAGCGGCGGACGGGUGGGUAACACGUGGAUAACCUACCUAUAAGACUGGGAUAACUUCGGGAAACCGGAGCUAAUACCGGAUAAUAUAUUGAACCGCAUGGUUCAAUAGUGAAAGACGGUUUUGCUGUCACUUAUAGAUGGAUCCGCGCCGCAUUAGCUAGUUGGUAAGGUAACGGCUUACCAAGGCAACGAUGCGUAGCCGACCUGAGAGGGUGAUCGGCCACACUGGAACUGAGACACGGUCCAGACUCCUACGGGAGGCAGCAGUAGGGAAUCUUCCGCAAUGGGCGAAAGCCUGACGGAGCAACGCCGCGUGAGUGAUGAAGGUCUUCGGAUCGUAAAACUCUGUUAUUAGGGAAGAACAAAUGUGUAAGUAACUAUGCACGUCUUGACGGUACCUAAUCAGAAAGCCACGGCUAACUACGUG